GACGAACGCUGGCGGCGUGCUUAACACAUGCAAGUCGAACGGAAAGGCCCUGCUUUUGUGGGCUGCUCGAGUGGCGAACGGGUGAGUAACACGUGAGUAACCUGCCCUUGACUUUGGGAUAACUUCAGGAAACUGGGGCUAAUCCAGGACAGGAGCUCCUGCUGCAUGGUGGGGGUUGGAAAGUUUCGCCGGGUGGGGAUGGACGCGCGGCUUAUCGGCUUGCUGGUGGGGUGGUGACUUACCCAGGCUGUGACGGGUAGCCGGCCUGAGAGGGUGACCGGGCACAGUGGCACUGGGAAGCGGCCCAGAGGGCUACGUGGGGCAGGGGUGGGGAAUAGUGCACGACGGGCGGAAGCGUGAUGGAGCAACGCCGGGUGCGGGAGGACUUCCGUCGGGAUGGAAACCGCUUACGCCUGUGACGAAGCGUGAGUGACGGUAAUGGGUAAAGAAGCACGGGCUAACUACGU
rnacentral:rRNA from 1 species